AGCUCUCCUUCAAAACAGAAUCAAAAUUUGAGUUAGCUGAGAAUGAAUUUGCUACAGCAAAAACAAACAAAGGAACGAGAAGAAGCUUUAGGGCCCUCAAACGCCAUAUUCAAAAUAAGGUUGAGAGCAGUUUCAUGAAGACCUCACCUUCAAAGCCCAAUCUGUACGAAAUUGACUUCCCACCUAGUUAGUUCGUCUUCAAUGGCUCAGAAAAGAGCUGAGUAAAUGGAGCAAGAAGGCAUUCCUAAACAAUAAAAAAUCAUUGAGGAUCUGAAGAAACGACUGUAUGAAUAGACACGAGGUGAUCUCAAUGACACACUAUUAGAAGAUGCCAACGUAACAGUAUUUUAAGCCUUAGAGAUGAUGACAGAAGAUGGCUGACGGAGAAGGGAGAUAUCUUAACCAAUGUGGCAGGCUUUUUUCAACAACCCUUUACGGCUUUGGGACUUAGGAGAAUGGAUAAAGCGUUAAGUUGUUUACAGGCUAGAAUCGAUGAUCAAACUAAUGUUGUCCUUAUGCGCCCUGUAACUAAAGAAGAAAUUCAAGAAGCAGUAUUUAAUCUUGGUGUCGACAAGGCACCCAGUCCGAUGGCUUUUCAAGUAAAUUUCUAUCAUUCCAUUAGGACUGAGAUUGGUGAUAGCAUCCGCUUUAUGAUUCUGGAAUUCUUUUAUGGUAAGUGCUCUCUUGAGGCUAUUUAUAAUACUAAUAUUAGUCUUAUUCCUAAAGUGGACAAGCCUAAACAUGUUUCUCAAUCCUGCCCUAUUGAUCUUUUAAUUUCUCUUAUAAGGUCAUCUCAAAAACUAUUGCAAAUCGCAUGAGACCUAUUCUUGAUACACGCAUCUCUUGGAAUCAAGGUGCCUUUGUUCCUAGGCAUUUCAUUCAUGAUAACAUUAUUAUUGCUAAUGAAGUGUGCCAUUAUUUGAGGGGAAAGAAAACUGGUAAUAAAUUGGAAUUUUCUUUGAAAAUGGAUACGAGCUAGGCCUAUGAUAGAAUUGGAUGGGAUUUUUUUAUAGAAAGUUCUGUUUAAAUUUGGUUUCUACUCUAAUUGGAUCAACAUUAUAAUGAAGUUUUUGGAAUUUGUUAGCCUUAACAUAUGUGUCUUAGGGCAGCAAAUUGCUUCUUUUGUUCCAGGAUGAGGCUUAAGACAAGGUGAUCCCCUAUCUCCUUACCUCUCCAUCUUGGUUGCUAAAGUUCUAUCAAGCUUGGUCAAUGAUUCUCAACAUCAAAGGCUUCUCAAGGGGAUUAAUAAGCUCACCAUUAGCAGCCCAGAACUUACUCAUUGCUUAUUUGCAGAUGACGCCCUUCUCAUUAUGAAUACUAAUGCCUGAAAUUGUAAAAAUCUUGCUAAAUUAUUAAACUUCUACUGUAUAGCUUCGGGUCAAAUGGCGAAUCUAGGUAAAUCAAGCAUUUUCUUCUCGUUAUAUGCUCCUGCACAUGAUAGAGCUAGAGUGUGUCAAAUUCUGGGUAUUCCUGAAGUGACAGAUCUGGGAAAUAUUUGGGCAUCCCAAGCAUCUGGGGAAAAACUAACUAACAGGCUCUUGCUUAUUUCAAGGAAAGAAUCUACCGCAAGGUUUAAGGGUGGGAAAUAUCUACUUUAUCUUUUACAGGUAGGGUGGUGAUGAUUAAAGUUGUGCUUAGUGCUAUCCCAAUUUAUCCAAUGAGCCAUUUUAAGUUUCCAAUAAAAACUUGCAAGGGGAUUCACAGUCUCAUCUCGAAUUUUUGGUAGGGUGGUGAAGACUUAUUGGAAAGCUUGGAAUGACUUGUCUCGGCUAAAGAGUGAAGAAGGUAUGGCCUUCAAGGACUUUGUCAUAUUGAAUGAGGCUCUUGCCAAAACAGCGUGGAGAAUCAUUAACCAGCCAUAUGAGUUUGUGGGUUAAAGUUCUCAAGAGUAUUUAUUUUCCCAAAGGUGCAUUUGUUGAUGCAAAGAAGGCCUCACAAGCUUCAACGUGUUGGUCUAGUAUGAUUGAUAGGCGGGAUUUCUUAAAGAAAAAUAUCCUUUGGGAUUUAGGUAAUGGAGAAUCAAUCAAAAUUUGGGAUGAUCCUUAGGUUCCUACUACUAAAUUCCAAAGUAAACCUGUUGAUAAUUCUAAUUUCAUAGUCAAGCACAAUCGAAUUUCUCACUUGAUAAUCAAUGGUACAUGAGAUCUCUCUCCUUUUCAAGGGCUGAUUGAUGAUAAUGUUAAGGUAGAAAUUUUGAAAAUCCAGAUUCCUUCAUGUGCUUUAUCUGAUAAAUGUGUAUGGGCACUAGUUACUAAUGGGGCUUAUACAGUCAAACUGGGCUAUAAACAGGAAAGUAAUCAUUGAAAGAAAGUUGCAAACUAUGCUGAGACGUCCUGCAUGAUUUCUAGUGAUGUUUGGCGGUAUAUAUGGCAAAUCAAAACCCUCCCACGCAUCCAACACUUCAUCUGGAGGACUCUCUCAAUCUAUUACUGUGAACACAUUACUUUAUAGACGGAAGUGUUGGUUCCCUAAGGUUUUCCCUAUUUGUGAAUCUGAAGAUGAAACGAUUGAGCAUCAAUUUUUUCUUUCUCCCUGGGUUAUAUGCUUAUGGUUUUCUAGCCCUUUUGGUUUCAAGCUUGAUUAUUUUAAUAUUCACAACUUUGAAUCUUGGCGGGUGGAUAUUUUAAAAUUUGUUUGUAUGAUUUCUGAUUUUGAUCUUGGUCUAAUGAGCUGGUUGUUAUGGCUGAUAUAGAAGCAAAGGAAUGAUGAAGUAUUCAAUCAAAGAGACCUAAACUUGUUGCAAGUGUCAGAACAAGCGAGGUCCCUGCAUGAAAAAUUUUGGGUCGUGAAUAAUGUGAAUUCUGAGAGUGUUACUUCUCCACCCCCAGUUCACGAUUCUAGUUGGGUUCCACCACAAUCAGAUUACCUUAAAAUUUAUAGCGAUGGGGCCUUCUCUAAUAAAUUUUCUCCUACUGCUAUUGAAGCUGUAUGUAGAAACAACUUGGGUGACUUUAAAUGGGGCUUCAUUGAUAAAUUAAAAUCUCUUUUUGCCUUCAUGAUAGAACUUUGAAGCGAGCACUUUUAUUAGCAAUAGACUUGGGGCAUGACAAAGUGAUUUUUGAAUUUUGACUGCAAAUUACUUUGAGUUCCUUCUGCUUAGUUUGAUCAAUGUGAUUGGAAUUGUCGCAGUAUUAUCCAAGAGAUUUCUGUUAUGACGGGUUGGGUUUUCCCUCUGUUUUACCCCUAGACGGGGUCGUGUAGUUGACCUCGUAGCAGCUGAUGCUCAUAAGGGAGUGUGCCUAUUCGGGUGGGUAUCUCUACCUGCAUCACUCUCAUUUAUCAUCUCUUCUAAAAUCAAAUGCUUUGGAUGCUCAGAAGAUUGGGGCAGACACUUCAAUUCGAGGGCAUAAAAUAGGUGUGGGUUAAUGUUGUUUAUGCUUUGUAAUUCUGUGUCUGGUUUUUUCCCUUUAUUUCCUUGUUUCCUGGACGUUUAUUGCCUCUGGCUUUAAUAGAGAUAUCUUUGCCCCAAAAAAAGCCUAUUGAAAAAGUUU